UACGGAGGGUGCGAGCGUUGUUCGGAAUCAUUGGGCGUAAAGGGCGUGUAGGUGGUCUGUUAAGUCAUGUGUGAAAGCCCUCAGCUUAACUGGGGAAGUGCGCAUGAAACUGACAGGCUAGAGUACCGAAGAGGAAGGUGGAAUUCCCGGUGUAGCGGUGAAAUGCGUAGAUAUCGGGAAGAACACCCGUGGCGAAGGCGGCACUCUGGGACGGUACUGACGCUGAGACGCGAAAGCGUGGGGAGCGAACAGG
rnacentral:rRNA from 1 species